GGAAACUUAGCCCCUCUUAUGCAUGUAUGUGUAUAGUCUCUUUCGUUUUCACUUAAAACUAACUAUCAACUAUUGAAUAUUUUGCAAGAUUUGUCUUAUUCAAACCUUUUGGGGGAAAUGUAAUGUUUUAAUAGAAAGACUAAUUCUUGCGAGAAGUUAACAGCUAGGCCCGUGGUACUCGGGUGGUCAUAUGAGAAGGGUUUGAAACGGGAGGUUGCGAGUUUGAAUCAGGGGAGGAACAAAUUUUUGGAAAUAAUUCGAAGGAGUCAGCCCGGCCGUUUAAAGCCCUAAG
rnacentral:lncRNA from 1 species